UUUUGGAGCAAAAGCUAAGGAAAAGGAAGAUAAGGACGAUUUUGGUUCUGGAAUUAGCGAGGAGUGUCGAUCGACACACUCUUGGUGUCGAUCGACACCAGUUUCGGCCCAGCAAAAACCCUAGACGCUUUCGAGUUUACAAGAGCUCAAGUUUGCCCUAGAAGAUUUCAUUAUUUGCAUUAUUAGUCCGUGGACGUUUUUAGGGUCUAUAUAUAUUGUUUUUAGACCUAAGUUUCUUUUAUCAAGUCUUUUAUCAAGCUUUUGCAAAACCA